rnacentral:tRNA from 1 species
GCGGGUGUGGCUUAUUGGCUGGGCAUCGGAUCGCCAGUCCGGUUAACGGAGUUCGAUUCUCCGCACUCGCUCCA